UACGUAGGGUGCGAGCGUUGUCCGGAAUUAUUGGGCGUAAAGAGCUCGUAGGCGGUCUGUCGCGUCUGCUGUGAAAUCCCGAGGCUCAACCUCGGGCCUGCAGUGGGUACGGGCAGACUAGAGUGCGGUAGGGGAGAUUGGAAUUCCUGGUGUAGCGGUGGAAUGCGCAGAUAUCAGGAGGAACACCGAUGGCGAAGGCAGAUCUCUGGGCCGUAACUGACGCUGAGGAGCGAAAGCGUGGGGAGCAAACAGG
rnacentral:rRNA from 1 species